UACGUAGGGGGCUAGCGUUGUCCGGAUUUAUUGGGCGUAAAGAGCGUGUAGGCGGCCAGGUAGGUCUGGUGUGAAAACUCGAGGCUUAACCUCGAGAUGUCAUCGGAAACCAUCUGGCUAGAGUUCGGAAGAGGAGAGUGGAAUUCCUGGUGUAGCGGUGAAAUGCGUAGAGAUCAGGCAGAACACCUGGGGCGAAGGCGGCCGGCUGGGCCGACCCUGACGCUGAGGCGCGAAGGCGUGGGGAGCGAACGGG
rnacentral:rRNA from 1 species